GAACGGUAACGCGGGGCAACCUGGCGACGAGUGGCGAACGGGUGAGUAAUGUAUCGGAACGUGCCCAGUAGUGGGGGAUAGCCCGGCGAAAGCCGGAUUAAUACCGCAUACGACCUACGGGUGAAAGGGGGGGAUCGCAAGACCUCUCGCUAUUGGAGCGGCCGAUAUCAGAUUAGGUAGUUGGUGGGGUAAAGGCCUACCAAGCCGACGAUCUGUAGCUGGUCUGAGAGGACGACCAGCCACACUGGGACUGAGACACGGCCCAGACUCCUACGGGAGGCAGCAGUGGGGAAUUUUGGACAAUGGGCGCAAGCCUGAUCCAGCCAUGCCGCGUGCGGGAAGAAGGCCUUCGGGUUGUAAACCGCUUUUGUCAGGGAAGAAAUCCUUUGGGCUAAUACCCGGGGGGAUGACGGUACCUGAAGAAUAAGCACCGGCUAACUACGUG
rnacentral:rRNA from 1 species